rnacentral:rRNA from 1 species
GAUGAACGCUGGCGGCGUGCCUAAUACAUGCAAGUCGAGCGAACAGACGAGGAGCUUGCUCCUCUGACGUUAGCGGCGGACGGGUGAGUAACACGUGGAUAACCUACCUAUAAGACUGGGAUAACUUCGUGAAACCGGAGCUAAUACCGGAUAAUAUAUUGAACCGCAUGGUUCAAUAGUGAAAGACGGUUUUGCUGUCACUUAUAGAUGGAUCCGCGCCGCAUUAGCUAGUUGGUAAGGUAACGGCUUACCAAGGCAACGAUGCGUAGCCGACCUGAGAGGGUGAUCGGCCACACUGGAACUGAGACACGGUCCAGACUCUUACGGGAGGCAGCAGUAGGGAAUCUUCCGCAAUGGGCGAAAGCCUGACGGAGCAACGCCGCGUGAGUGAUGAAGGUCUUCGGAUCGUAAAACUCUGUUAUUAGGGAAGAACAAAUGUGUAAGUAACUAUGCACGUCUUGACGGUACCUAAUCAGAAAGCCACGGCUAACUACGUG